UACAGGGGGUGCAAGCGUUGCUCGGAAUGACUGGGCGUAAAGGGCACGUAGGCGGUGAAUCGGGUUGAAAGUGAAAGUCGCCAAAAAGUGGCGGAAUGCUCUCGAAACCAAUUCACUUGAGUGAGACAGAGGAGAGUGGAAUUUCGUGUGUAGGGGUGAAAUCCGUAGAUCUACGAAGGAACGCCAAAAGCGAAGGCAGCUCUCUGGGUCCCUACCGACGCUGGGGUGCGGAAGCAUGGGGAGCGAACAGG
rnacentral:rRNA from 1 species